UAAAGACCUAUAAAUACACCGGUUAAUACAAUCUACUGAUUAAAAUCCAAAGAAUUUGGCGGUAUCUUAAAUAAUCAGGGGAACCUGUACCUUAAUUUGAUAAUCCACGUAUAUUAAACUACAUUUUGAAUUUCAGCCUGUGUACUGCUGUCGCCAGUAAACCUCUGAAAGUCAGUUUACGCCAAUACAUAAUAUGGACGUCAAGUCAAAGUGCAGCCAAUAAUGUAGGGGACUAUGGGUUACAAUUUUCAUAAAAAUACGGACUAUUAUAAUAAAAAUAAUAUAAAGGUGGACUUGACAGUAAUAUUUAUAGGACACUAAUAUAAACAAGAGUCUAAGAUAUGCACACAUCGCCCGUCACUCUCGUUUAAAUUG
rnacentral:rRNA from 1 species